UACGGAGGGUGCGAGCGUUGUCCGGAAUCACUGGGCGUAAAGGGCGCGUAGGCGGCUGGGGAAGUCGGCGGUGAAAGCCCGGAGCUCAACUCCGGGUCGGCCGUCGAGACUCCUCGGCUCGAGCUCACUAGAGGCAGAUGGAAUUCCGGGUGUAGCGGUGGAAUGCGUAGAGAUCCGGAAGAACACCGGUGGCGAAGGCGGUCUGCUGGGGUGAGGCUGACGCUGAUGCGCGACAGCGCUGGGGAGCAAACAGG
rnacentral:rRNA from 1 species